rnacentral:rRNA from 1 species
UACGUAGGGUGCGAGCGUUGUCCGGAAUUAUUGGGCGUAAAGAGCUCGUAGGCGGUUUGUCGCGUCUGCCGUGAAAAUCCGGGGCUCAACCCCGGACUUGCGGUGGGUACGGGCAGACUAGAGUGUGGUAGGGGAGACUGGAAUUCCUGGUGUAGCGGUGAAAUGCGCAGAUAUCAGGAGGAACACCGGUGGCGAAGGCGGGACUCUGGGCCGAUACUGACGCUGAGGAGCGAAAGCGUGGGGAGCAAACAGG